rnacentral:rRNA from 1 species
AUUGAACGCUGGCGGCAGGCCUAACACAUGCAAGUCGAACGAGUGGCGGACGGGUGAGUAAUGUCUGGGAAACUGCCUGAUGGAGGGGGAUCACUACUGGAAACGGUAGCUAAUACCGCAUACCAUCGGAUGAGCCCAGAUGGGAUUAGCUAGUAGGUGGGGUAACGGCUACCCUAGGCGACGAUCCCUAGCUGGUCUGAGAGGAUGACCAGCCACACUGGAACUGAUACACGGUCCAGACUCCUACGGGAGGCAGCAGUGGGGAAUAUUGCACAAUGGGCGCAAGCCUGAUGCAGCCAUGCCGCGUGUAUGAAGAAGGCCUUCGGGUUGUAAAGUACUUUCAGCGGGGAGGCGUUACCCGCAGAAGAAGCACCGGCUAACUCCGUGCCAGCAGCCGCGGUAAUAC